rnacentral:rRNA from 1 species
CCUACGGGAGGCAGCAGUGAGGAAUAUUGGUCAAUGGGCGAGAGCCUGAACCAGCCAAGUCGCGUGAGGGAGUACUGCCCUAUGGGUUGUAAACCUCUUUUGUCGGGGAGCAAAAGCCGGACGUGUCCGGCUGUGAGAGUACCCGAAGAAAAAGCAUCGGCUAACCCCGGGCCAGCAGCCGCGGUAAUACGGAGGAUGCGAGCGUUAUUCGGAUUUAUUGGGUUUAAAGGGUGCGCAGGCGGAUUUUUAAGUCAGCGGUAAAAUCGUGGGGCUCAACCCCAUCCAGCCGUUGAAACUGGGGAUCUAGAGUGUGCGAGAGGUAUGCGGAAUGCGUGGUGUAGCGGUGAAAUGCAUAGAUAUCACGCAGAACCCCGAUUGCGAAGGCAGCAUACCGGUGCACAACUGACGCUCAGGCACGAAAGCGUGGGUAUCGAACAGGAUUAGAUACCCCAGUAGUC